GGCUCUGUAGUGUAGCGGUUAUCACCCGGGAUUCUGAUGAAUCCUAAUCAGUAUUCCCGUGACCCAGGUUCGAUCCCUGGCAGGGCCU